GCUUUCUACGUAUAAACUAAAAUUAUAUAUUAGAAUUGUUAAGACUUUAUGCUUAUGAAUUUAAAUGAUAUUGUCAAUGCCUAAAUGCUUUAUGUUUUAUUAUUAAUUGCCUAUCUGAUGUUAAUCGAAUUCGGAUUCUGGAUGGGACCGCAAAUCCCUUCGGAAUUAGUGUACACCUUGUGAUCGUGAGUCAUCUAGCGGGUUGGCCGAUCAUAGUGUCCGUAGGGG
rnacentral:lncRNA from 1 species